GAUGAACGCUAGCUACAGGCUUUAACACAUGCAAGUCGAACGGAACUGCUUUGAAAGAGGAUUCGUCCAAUUGAUAAGUAUGUUUAGUGGCGGACGGGUGAGUAACGCGUGAGUAACCUGCCUUGGAGUGGGGAAUAACACAGUGAAAUUGUGCUAAUACCGCAUAAUGCAGUUGGGUCGCAUGGCUCUGACUGCCAAAGAUUUAUCGCUCUGAGAUGGACUCGCGUCUGAUUAGAUAGUUGGCGGGGUAACGGCCACCAAGUCGACGAUCAGUAGCCGGACUGAGAGGUUGGCCGGCCACAUUGGGACUGAGACACGGCCCAGACUCCUACGGGAGGCAGCAGUGGGGAAUAUUGGGCAAUGGGCGCAAGCCUGACCCAGCAACGCCGCGUGAAGG
rnacentral:rRNA from 1 species